CUCACCGCGUUACUGAUACCCGGAUCUCUGCGUUUAUGAAUCUCAUCACACAGUUCGUUUUAUAAGGCUUGGAUUUUGAGGCACGAGAGAAAAUGGCUCAAAGCGUGGUCCUUUUUAUAUUAGGGCUAUUCGGCAGAUCUCUCGGUGGAUUUCCUAACCAGAUAAAUAUAGGUGGGCUCUUCAUGCGCUCUACGGUUCAAGAACACAGCGCCUUCAGAUUUGCUGUUCAGCUCUACAACACCAACCAGAAUACGACUGAGAAACCUUUCCAUCUAAAUUAUAAUGUAGAUAACCUGGAGUCCUCCAACAGUUUCUCUGUCACACAUGCAUUUUGUUCGCAGUUCUCCAGAGGCGUCUACGCCAUCUUCGGCUUCUACGAUAAGAAGUCUAUGAACACGCUGACCUCCUUCUGCGGUGCCCUCCACACCUCUUUCGUCACGCCCAGUUACCCGAUCGACUCGGACGUGCAGUUCGUCAUUCAGAUGCGCCCGCCGCUGAGGGGUGCCGUCCUCAGUCUUCUGUCUCACUACAAGUGGGACAAGUUCGUCUACCUCUACGACACAGACAGAGGAUUCUCCAUCCUUCAAGCUAUUAUGGAGGCAGCAGUGGCAAACAACUGGCAAGUAACUGCACGCUCGGUGGGCAGCAUAACAGAUCCCCAAGAGUUUCGCCGUAUCAUCGAGGAAAUGGACAGGAGACAAGAGAAACGUUACCUCAUCGACUGUGAAGUGGACAGAAUCAAUGUCAUUUUAGAACAGGUUGUGACACUUGGGAAGAACAGUCGAGGAUACCAUUAUAUUAUUGCCAAUCUGGGCUUCACCAACAUCAGUCUGGAUAAGGUGUUUAUGGGUGGAGCAAACAUCAGUGGCUUUCAGAUUAUCAAUCCUGAAAACCCUGUUGUACAACAGUUUCUUCAGCGAUGGGAUCGUCUGGAUGAAAGAGAGUUUCCAGAAGCCAGAAAUACACCUCUGAAGUAUACUUCAGCACUGUCUUACGAUGCCAUCCUGGUUAUUGCGGAGGCUUUCCGCUACCUGCGACGUCAGCGAGUAGACGUGUCCAGGAGGGGCAGCGCCGGCGAUUGUCUGGCUAACCCCGCCGUCCCAUGGAGCCAAGGCAUUGACAUCGAAAGAGCUCUCAAAAUGGUCCAGGUGCAGGGGAUGACUGGAAAUAUUCAGUUUGACAGCUUCGGUCGCAGAUCUAACUACACCAUUGACGUUUAUGAAAUGAAAACAGGGGGACCGAGAAAAAUCGGCUACUGGAACGAGUUUGAGCGCUUUGUAAAUAUUAUGGACCUGCAGUUCGGCAACGAUUCCUCCUCAGUGGAAAACCGAACAAUUGUGGUCACUACUAUUAUGGAAGCACCGUACGUGAUGUUCAAGAAAAACCACAUGCAUCUGGAAGGCAAUGACAAAUAUGAAGGCUACUGUGUCGAUUUAGCUUCUGAGAUUGCCAAACAUGUUGGGAUUAAGUACAGACUGUCUAUAGUCAUGGAUGGAAAAUACGGUGCCCGCGAUCCUGAAACCAAGUCGUGGAACGGGAUGGUGGGUGAACUUGUCUAUGGGAGAGCCGAUAUAGCUGUCGCCCCAUUGACCAUCACACUCGUGCGAGAGGAGGUCAUUGACUUUUCCAAGCCCUUCAUGAGUCUGGGCAUCUCCAUUAUGAUCAAGAAGCCUCAGAAAUCGAAGCCUGGCGUCUUCUCCUUCCUGGAUCCUCUAGCUUAUGAGAUCUGGAUGUGUAUCGUGUUCGCCUACAUCGGCGUCAGCGUGGUCCUCUUCCUCGUGAGCCGCUUUAGCCCCUAUGAAUGGCAUUUGGAUGAGAGUGAUGAAGCCAAAGACCCCCAGACUCCUCCGGACCCGCCUAAUGACUUUGGGAUUUUUAACAGCCUGUGGUUCUCACUGGGGGCCUUCAUGCAGCAGGGCUGUGAUAUCUCACCAAGGUCCUUAUCGGGCAGAAUAGUAGGAGGCGUCUGGUGGUUCUUCACCCUCAUCAUAAUCUCGUCCUACACGGCUAACCUGGCUGCUUUCCUGACAGUAGAGAGGAUGGUUUCUCCCAUAGAGAGCGCUGAAGAUCUCGCCAAACAAACAGAGAUCGCAUAUGGCACCUUGGACUCAGGAUCAACCAAAGAGUUCUUCAGGCGCUCGAAAAUAGCAGUGUACGAAAAAAUGUGGUCGUACAUGAAAUCGGCCGAGCCCUCCGUGUUUGCCAAGACCACACCCGACGGGGUGGCGCGGGUACGAAAGUCGAAGGGCAAGUUUGCCUUUCUCUUGGAAUCCACCAUGAACGAGUACAUCGAGCAGAGGAAGCCCUGCGACACCAUGAAAGUGGGCGGCAAUCUGGACUCGAAGGGCUACGGUGUGGCAACCCCCAAAGGCUCAGCAUUAAGAAAUGCUGUUAACCUGGCAGUUUUAAAACUGAAUGAGCAAGGCCUGUUGGACAAAUUGAAAAACAAAUGGUGGUACGACAAGGGAGAGUGCGGCAGCGGGGGAGGUGACUCCAAGGUCAGCCUCAAUGUCACCAAAAUCGGGUACCGUAGUGCAGAGUAAUCGGCAAGCCUGUUAUUCCUGAACCGAGCCAAACCCAAGAAUCCUUUCGGUCCUCUAACCCAAGAUUAUUGGGCCGCCUGAGCUCAAUCCAAGAACCCUGACUUGGCAAACGGAUGGUAGAAAAUGACCAGUAUGAUUUUGUCCUACUGAGGAGAUGUAAUAAAACAUAAAGUCUCUCAAAAGUAAUGUCGACUCUUGGUAGCCACGCAAAGCGGUUGAGUUUGAAGGACGUCCGCCUAGAAGACGGCAAAGAGAGAUACAAGAUUACGUUCUCGCUUUACUUCUGCUGGGCGGCUGCCCGUGAUUAUGAGGUUUUAUUAGAAACACCCUGACGGCACGGGCUGAUUGUCGAAUGAAAACCUCACGCAUCUCUCAAUGUGUGAGAUAUCUCGUCUCCGGGCCAAUCUGAGCUCACGAUCAAAAAUCCAUCAUUUAUUUGAGAGUGCCUAGUUUUCCUUCCUCUACGAGGGCAGGAUAAGUGCCAUGUGUUCUGCCCAUUUAAACCCAGUUUUUUCACUGAUGUCGAGGUGAAGAGUAACUGAUGUGCUACCUUUAAACAUUUAACUUUGUUUUAACGUCACGUCAAAAGAAUCGCGCUAACGUUUACACAGCCGUUGUUUUUAUUUUACUUGAGAUUAACAGCAAAUGAUGAUGAAAUACGCAUUGCUUUUUACCGAGCCCCUAAGGUGACUUUCUAAAAUCUAAAGUUUAGUUUCAUGUGCUCACGUGAAACCUUCAUGUGCAGAUUUAGCCUUGUUUAGUUUCGCGUGCUCACGCGAAACUAAACUCGAAAGUUUCACGUGCGCACGCGAUAAUUUCACGUGAGUACACAAUAGUUUCACGUGUGCAUGCAAAGCUAAACUUUAUUUUUAUGUCCCCUUAGGGGCUCAGUAGCUUUUUAAUGUGCGACUUAGAUUUGUUUGAGACUAAAAGCAUAAUUUUCACAAUCUUACAUCACAGAUACAGUUUGGGCUUCUUCAACAUACUUCCUUCAUAAGGAUUAUGCAACUUUUAAAGCAUUUUACAUUAAGUAAACUCUUAAAGGGAAAUAAAUAUUUGAAUGAGAAAACGAACCAUCGUUUUUGCACAUUAUUCAUGAUUAGAAUACAAAAAAAAGAUACGAUUGUAUUACAUUAAACCAAUACCGGCAAACCAGUGCAUGUCGUUUUAAUUUCAGGUCAACUAAUUGUCAUUAAUAGUUUCUCUGAUUCCUGAAAAUAGGGACACAAUUCUACAAACGAAGGUGAAACAUUAACUGAGUUUUCGUAAUCACCUUCUCUGUUCCAGCUUUCUGUUUUUGCCGUGAUUUGAAGGCCCCAUUAGCAGACACGCAGUGGAUGGGCUAGCUCUAAUGAUCUAAUGCGGCGAGUCUGCAGGGGCGCGUUGAGAUGCAGCCGCACAACCAGCUGUGAAAAACAAAACAUAAAGGAGUGAGACAAAGAGAGCGAGAGAGAGAGAGAGAGAGAGAGAGAGAGAGAGAGAGAGAGAGAGAGAGAGAGAGAGAGGAAAUCCAUGUUAAGCCACCUGCACCAAACAGACAUCAUUAACCCGUUCUCCAUUCGGCCCCUGGCAGCCUGCUGCCAUCCUCACUGCUGAUAGGCUUCCCACUCCAGUCCCUCUGAACGCUCCAAGGAUAAUUACAUUGUUAAUCAAUGUCUCUCUGCCAGCUAAAAGAAAUGUUAGAACCACAUGCCUUACUUAUCAGUAGUGGCCCUACGAAAUAUAAAGGAAAAAAUAUUGAUUAUGCCGUAUGACUUUCAAUUCUACUACCAGCAAAACAGGAAUCAAAUGUAGCACGCUGUAUUAUUAGGAAAAUGUUACAAAUCAAUAUUACGAAAGCAAUAAUGAAAAUAGCUCAACAAUAUCAGAUUCGAAUGACUAAAUAAACCAUGACUAAAUAGAACAGAAGACUUGAGAAGUGUUUUGGACGCAUUUAUGGGACACUUUUAAUCACCUACAGUAUAAUUCCCAUUCUUCUAAAGGGCUGAUAGAUAGGCUAUUUAAAUCACCAACAGGACAUUCAAUAAAACAACAAAUGUGGGAUAGGAUUUUAUUUUAGCAUCAUAAAAGUGUUUGGCUGUUAGUGAUCAAAUGUACCAUAUGGCAUUAGCAAAAGUCGUUUCGGAAGGCCUAUUACGUUUUGAUGGAAGAUUACGAGAACUUCUCUUUGCCUAGAAUCGCAGAUGUUAAUAUAAGAAUGUAAAUAAGGUUGUGAAUUUAUGUCGACUUUAAUUGGUUAGCAUUAUGCUAACUGUUUAAACUGAUAGCUUAUUACACAAAACGCUGUAAAAGCUUCUAUUCAAGUCAAUACAUUUAUGAAUGAUUUUAGUAGUAUGUCGAUAAUGAAAUUGUCAAACUUGUACCACAUAAAUCAUCACAGCUGUAAUGCUAAUCAUUGCUAGCCUAGCCUUUUAUACAAUAUUAUUACAACUAAUAGGCUUAUUUGGUUAGGGUUAG